GCGGCGCCGGAGGGUGGGGUAGGCGCCGGAAGUGCUGCGGUUGCCGUGACGACGGCGUCGGCCCCGCGGCGCGGGCGAGCCGGAGCGGGCCGGGACCCCGCGGGCCCCGCCGCCCAUGCCGCGGAAGGCGCUGCUCUGCGUCCUGCAGCUGGACGUCCGCUCGAUAACUUGUCCCGGAGUACUGCUGAAAGACAAAGAGGAACUUUAUCUCAGUGUCUCUGUAUUUGGGCAGCACAAAAAAACUCAAUGUGUCCCGGCAGCGUUUCCACUCUUCUUUCAAGAAAAACUAGUAUUUGAGAAGACAUUUGCUGAUAUAGUUGAUCCUGGAGACCUUGUGGAGUUACUGGAACUUGACACAACACUACUUGAACUAAUACAGCUUGUUCCUCCAGUAGGAAAUGUUCUAGCUACAUAUGAAGAAAAUACAAGAGAUUUCCUGUUUCCUGACCCUAAGCUUACCCAUGGGCACCAUGGUUUUGAUCGUGAGAUUUUAAUGAAGAGGUCCUCAUCUUUUACAGGAAUUGCACCAAAACUGAGAUUUUCUACAAGCUCCCUUAUUACAGAAAGCCUGUUAAGCUCAGGAAGGAGUCACAUACAGGAUGAUUUGAAUUUGGUACAUCACUCAACCCCAAAUGGAAAAUUGCAAACAAAGUUGCCAAAGAAAAAUACUCUUUCACCUGAGAAAAACAGGAACAGCUUAGCAACAAAGAGCUACGAGCAGCCUACAAUAGCUUCUAAAUCACGUUCUCCAUCUCCAUACACAAAAAGACGAAUGUGUGAGCUAUCACAAGACGCCAGGCAACGACUGGCCCAUUUAAAACUUGGUCCUUAUGAAUUCAGAAGAGAUACCGAUAAACCUCCAUUUGUAGUUAGACGGGUUGAACAACCAAGUCCUGGUGCUAAACUCCAUACCUGUUGUCAUACACGAGAAAGUGCAGCAGAAGCCUGGAACAAGGCAGACCAUGAUUCUUCUCUUCUUGGCAGCUACAGACCCAGGAAAGCCAAAGCAAAAUCUCCUCAUGGAAAAUACUUUGGCAGCUCUGAUGUUUGCAAUGAGGAUGUGAUCUCAAUUCCAGACAACAGACGGUCCCAUUCUGCUGGUUCAUUAGAGCACUCAGCAUCUCCAGCACUUCAUAAGCAUUCUCUAAGUUCUGUGCUAAAUCGAUCCUCUCUAAGGGAAAGAUUUAGCUCUGGUUGGCCUUUACCAGCAAAUGGAGAGGAGAUCCACAUGAGAGUGAAAAAUAUUUUGAGGACACACAGUGCUAGACAGCGCCUAAUAUUUGAUGAGAGUAACUCAUCUAAAGGAGGCUUGACUAAGACAAGAGAAUCUGCACUUAAAGCACCCUUAUCCAUGAGGCAACAACAGAACGGUUCACCAGUGCUGCAGAACACUACUGUUCAUUUGGAUAAUGGUGAAUAUUGGUCUAAUCGUGCAUCUGUAUACAAAGGGAAGCCUCACAGAGCCAUCUUUGAAGAGAGUCUUGAGAAAAUAUACAGAAACAUGUACCAAAAAGCUGCUGGCACUGCUUCAGACAAAAACCCACACUCCUAAUAACAAUUCACCUGGAAAUGCACAGCAUGUAGUGAGCAAGGGGUGCAAUGAUGUGUGCAACUUGACAGUGGAAAAGGUUGUUGUGGUGUGCCAUGGGGUUGUCAGAGAAAGGAAAGGAGUUUGCUGUUACACAACAACAUCCCUCUUGGUUCAUAAGAAUUGACCGAUCCUGAGAAUACAGCACAAAAACCCUGUCCUGUGGUCAGGCAUUUAUGUAACCCUGCAGAGCUGAUGCCAUUGACAGAGCUUCACACAGAGGUGGGGUGGGAGGCUGAAGGCUUGGAGAGUGGCUUGAGAGUGGCUUCUCGUGGCAUGCCGCGAAUUAUGCAUUUGUAUACCGUGAAUAAUCAGUGUGUAAAAUAACCUGUGAGACUUUGAAGUAACAAAAGCACUAUUUACAUUGCUGAGUGGGGGUGAAUUCUAAUGCUUAUAUUUGUAUUGUUACACUGACUUGAAUUUUUGAGCGGUUAGCUAAUUGUGUUGUUACUAUAGUCGUAUGAACUGGUUCAUUCAGUACUCCAGUAGUAAACAUUUGCUAAGAGGUUGCUUUCCCUGCCUGCCUUGUUUUCACCACAGUCAUCUAGUGUUUACAUACAUUUUAGCCUCUGUGCCAUUUUUGAAGGCUUUAUUUGUCUCAUUUACGUUUUUGGUUUGGAUAAUACUUAAAUAUGAAAUCCAUCUGGGGAACAUAUUGUAUAUUCAUGUUGAGGGGUAAAACCAGUUUUUAAUUAAAAUUUUAUACAGCACUUGUA